rnacentral:rRNA from 1 species
AUACGGAGGAUGCGAGCGUUAUCCGGAUUUAUUGGGUUUAAAGGGUGCGUAGGUGGUAGAUUAAGUCAGCGGUGAAAGUUUGUCGCUCAACGAUAAAAUUGCCGUUGAUACUGGUUUACUUGAGUAUAGUUGAAGUAGGCGGAAUGCGUGGUGUAGCGGUGAAAUGCAUAGAUAUCACGCAGAACUCCGAUUGCGAAGGCAGCUUACUAAGUUAUAACUGACACUGAAGCACGAAAGCGUGGGUAUCAAACAGGAUUAGAUACCCUGGUAGUCCGCACAGUAAACGAUGAAUACUCGCUGUUUGCGAUACACGGUAAGCGGCCAAGCGAAAGCGUUAAGUAUUCCACCUGGGGAGUACGCCGGCAACGGUGAAACUUAAAGGAAUUGGCGGG